UGCUAAUAAGCCCAAAUCAGAGUCAGUUUGAAACCAGAACUGGUGAGCUUAGGGACUAGAACAUAUGUCAGAAGGACUAUGCUUCCAGAAGGAGUCAAGGAUCACCGCAAGGUUCACAUACUGAAGAUCAUAUUGCUGGUCAUUGUUCUGGUGGCCUUGCAAAUGAGUUGAAGAAAAGCCAGAAAAGCUUCCUGGAGAUUGAGAGAGACCUGAACAAUAACUUGGAGGAGAUGGCAUCCCAGAGAGAUUCGCUGCUCAGUCAGCUACAGAAGCUGAAGGAAGAGAACCAGAAUUUUGCUGAGAAACUUAGGAAUGCUGAGGCAGCCCUGCAGAUGGAGAGAACAAAUAAGAAAAAUCCAGAAGAGAGAAGUUCAGCACUCCCUGGCCCUCAGAUCUACUCUUUACUCCUGGGUCUCUGUCUGACCAUUGUCUUGCUUGCCUGAUUGAGGCACUUCCUGGACUCCUGUAGUCUCCUAAGCCUUGGCUCUUGGUGUUCUUUCCUGAGGCUCCAGGACAAGAAGUGGGGCUGAGCAGGGGCAGGAAUUCUGGAUGGGCUUGGGAGACUCAAGGCUUUACCGCCUGAUUCCAAAGUCCUAGGGUGUGGAAUGCUUGGAUGAGAGGAGAGAAGCAGGGAGGGGAAGGGGCUAUUUGGAGGAGGGGGAGAAGAGGGGAUGGGCUCGAAAGGAGGAUGGGGGAAGGAGCCCUGAGGUGGAGCAGGCACUGGGUUCAGGGUGCUGUGUCCUUGGUAGAAGUAGAUGAGGGGUUGGGAUCUUUAAAAUAAACAAAAAAGGCUGGACUUUAAA